rnacentral:rRNA from 1 species
AUUGAACGCUGGCGGCAGGCCUAACACAUGCAAGUCGAGCGGAUGAACGGAGCUUGCUCCUGGAUUCAGCGGCGGACGGGCGAGUAAUGCCUAGGAAUCUGCCUGGUAGCGGGGGAUAACGUCCGGAAACGGGCGCUAAUACCGCAUACGUCCUGAGGGAGAACGUGGGGGAUCUUCGGACCUCACGCUAUCAGAUGAGCCUAGGUCGGAUUAGCUAGUUGGUGGGGUAAAGGCCUACCAAGGCGACGAUCCGUAGCUGGUCUGAGAGGAUGAGCAGCCACACUGGAACUGAGACACGGUCCAGACUCCUACGGGAGGCAGCAGUGGGGAAUAUUGGACAAUGGGCGAAAGCCUGAUCCAGCCAUGCCGCGUGUGUGAAGAAGGUCUUCGGAUUGUAAAGCACUUUUAGUGGGGAAGAAGAGCAGUAAGUUAAUACCUCGCUGUUUUGACGUUACCAACAGAAUAAGCACCGGCUAACUUCGUG